rnacentral:lncRNA from 1 species
CCGCCUCCGGCGCGGCGAGGUCGGCCUCUUCUCUUCCCUCUUUCUUUCCUUCCAUUUCUUCUCCUCUUUCUCCUGAAUUUAGAAUAGAUCUAGGGUUUCUAAAUUUCCUGAAGUUUGUUCCUCCGAUGAACUCCGCCACUGCCGCCGCUGUGCUCGUCGCGCCGCCACCCCCUCUGAUUCAGGUAAGCCUCCCCAUCUCUCUUUCUCCUUUUCUUUCUUCCUUUCUCUGCUCCUCUAUCUCGAUCUCUCUCUCUUUUCUGGUCGGGC